rnacentral:rRNA from 1 species
GGAUCAUUGUCGAAAUCGAACGGAAGAACGACCCGCGAAUCGUCAUUGCGUACUAGACAGAGCCCGUGAGCACCUAACGCUCACGGGUCUCGCGUCGCGUCGGCGCGGGUGUACUCGAGACCCGCGUCGUACCGGCGGACAAACAACGUCAGCACGGAUCGUGCCAAGGAGCUGCAUGGAGAGAAUCGUCGUCCCACGCCUUUGAUAGUCCUCGACGCGGGACGGGGGACGUACGCAAUCUCUACUCAAGUCUAAACGACUCUCGGCAACGGAUAUCUCGGCUCUUGCAUCGAUGAAGAACGUAGCGAAAUGCGAUACUUGGUGUGAAUUGCAGAAUCCCGUGAACCAUCAAUUCUUUGAACGCAAGUUGCGCCCGAAGCCAUUCGGCCGAGGGCACGCCUGCCUGGGCGUCGUGAAUCCCCUUGCCCCGAGGCACCCGCAUGAGCAUUGGCGGGGAUAUAUGCCCGGGCGCAGAAUAUGGUCUCCCGUGGGAUCGGCAUGCACGGCAUGUCGAGGUGCGGUUGGCCGAAAAUCGAGCAUGGCGGUGACGGGCACCACGGCGUUCGGUGGAUCGAACGGGAUUGGCUGCGUCGUGGGCUCGGCAUGCGGCGGGCUCCGGACUUUGAAUAUCCCCGAGUGCGAUCCCAGGUCAGGCGGGGCUACCCGCUGAGUUUAAGCAUAUCAAUAAGCGGAGGAAAAGAAACUAACGAGGAUUCCCUUAGUAGCGGC